CUCAUCAGCUCUCCUGUCUGCUGUGAGGCUCCAGCAGCCUCUCAGCUUCCUGUUCACCUGUCAGGUUUGAUCUGGACCUCCAGGCGAACGUGUUGAAGUCUUCUCCUCGCCGACGCCGACGCUCCACUCAUCAAGGUGUGAUGAAAACUGCAGCUACAGUCGAGAAGAGUCGCAGCAGUGAAUCGUUUUACUUCCACUGAAGUUAGCCGGAGUUCUUCAGAGAGCGGUUCUGUGGGCCCGGGUCAUCUCACACUUUGGACCAGGACUCUGCUCCAAAAGGCCUCCAGCUCCAAUUCUGGAUGAAACUCACGGACCUGUCGACGUCUGGAACAGUUUGAUGAGGUCACACUUCCCUGAUGACGGUUAUUGUGACGGAGGAGCUUCGAUGAACCUGGACCUAUUCUGGACUCUCCGGCUCUCCGUCCACUCAGAGAUCUGCUCUGUCGAGACGGUUUACUGUUGUUAAACUCAAAUACUACCUGAUUUAUUUAACCCCUAAUGGCAAAUAAUAAAUAGAUCUUUGUUUAUCUGAUGAUAAA